rnacentral:misc_RNA from 1 species
AACGCACAUUGCGCCCCCUGGUAUUCCGGGGGGCAUGCCUGUUCGAGCGUCAUUACAACCCUCAAGCUCUGCUUGGUAUUGGGCUCUGCCGGUCCCGGCAGGCCCCAAAAUCAGUGGCGGUGCCAUCCGGCUUCAAGCGUAGUAAUUCUUCUCGCUUUGGAGGCCCGGGUGCGUGCUUGCCAGCAACCCCCAAUUUUUUUUCAGGUUGACCUCGGAUCAGGUAGGGAUACCCGCUGAACUUAA